rnacentral:rRNA from 1 species
UACGUAGGGGGCAAGCGUUGUCCGGAUUUAUUGGGCGUAAAGAGCGUGUAGGCGGCCAUACAGGUCCAUUGUGAAAACUGGAGGCUUAACCUCCAGACGUCGAUGGAAACCGUAUGGCUAGAGUCCGGAAGAGGAGAGUGGAAUUCCUGGUGUAGCGGUGAAAUGCGCAGAUAUCAGGAAGAACACCCGUGGCGAAGGCGGUUCUCUGGGACGGUACUGACGCUGAGACGCGAAAGCGUGGGGAGCGAACAGG